rnacentral:rRNA from 1 species
GCAGCCGCGGUAAUACGGAGGAUCCAAGCGUUAUCCGGAUUUAUUGGGUUUAAAGGGUGCGUAGGCGGAAUAGUAAGUUAGAGGUGAAAGCUCGGGGCUCAACUCCGGAACUGCCUCUGAUACUGCUAAUCUAGAGAGUAGAUGCGGUAGGCGGAAUGUAUGGUGUAGCGGUGAAAUGCUUAGAGAUCAUACAGAACACCGAUUGCGAAGGCAGCUUACCAAACUAUAUCUGACGUUGAGGCACGAAAGCGUGGGGAGCAAACAGGAUUAGAUACCCC